rnacentral:misc_RNA from 1 species
GAAAUGCGAUAAGUAGUGUGAAUUGCAGAAUUCAGUGAAUCAUCGAAUCUUUGAACGCACAUUGCGCCCCUCGGUAUUCCGUGGGGCAUGCCUGUUCGAGCGUCAUCUACACCCUCAAGCUCUGCUUGGUGUUGGGCGUCUGUCCCGCCUCCGCGCGCGGACUCGCCCCAAAUGCAUUGGCAGCGGUUCCUUGCCCCCCUCUUUGCGAAGCACAUUGCCAUUCGAGGCGGCGGCGGCCCGCGUCCAACAAGCUCAACCCCCCCGUCUUUGACCUCGGAUCAGGUAGGGAUACCCGCUGAACUUAAGC